rnacentral:sRNA from 1 species
GCCAGGCAUCGUGGCGCAUGCUUAUAAUCCCAGCUACUCAGGAGGCUGAGGCAGGAGGGUCACAAGGUCAAGGCCAGCUUGGGCCACUUAGACCCUGUCUCAA